rnacentral:tRNA from 1 species
GCCCCGGUGGUGUAGGCCGGAAGCAUACGGGCCUUUCGAGCCCGUGGUCCCGGGUUCAAGUCCCGGCCGGGGCGCCA